AGCAGCGUACACAAUGUUCUGAGGUUUCAGGGCUGAGCCAGCUAAUACUUUCAGUCAUGCUGAACAUACCAUCCUUCUGUAGAGAUCAACGAGCCCCCGAGGUCCCAGGGAUGGACACGAAUGUCUCUCCACUCUCCCAGCCUGUUAUCAAGCAAGGAUGCCAAGCUCAGCCCUUCCAGUAAUGCCAUGACUCAGCCCACUGAAGACACAGCCCUCAUCUUUGUCCCAUUGAUGUCAACCUCUGUCCCCUCCGCUCCUGAGGACAGACCAGCAGCUCUCACCUCCAAACAGAGCAGAGUUCCCUAAGGCAAAGGUGGGGAGGGAAAGCGGUGAUUGCAUUUGGGAGAGGACACGUUUCCACACAGCACUGCUGGUUGGAGCCUGGAAGGUCCCACUAGAGAACAGCCUGGAUGGAUGUAGAGAGCCCAGGGCAGGCCAGGCCAUCGGCACUGAUGAGUUCCAUGAAGACAGCACUCAGUCAGGGAUGUCAGUUUGGCAGCUCGAACAACAUGAAGUUCACAGUGGUCACAGGAGCACUGUAACACACGAACGUUUGGGAUAAGCCUCCUCCACAACACUGAUUCUGCCACAGGAUGUUCCCCAGAGCAUGGCCAACACCUCCAAGUGUGGAGCCAUCAACACCUCCAAGGAUGGCUGUAACCAGUCCCACAGCAUCGCUUCCCCGGCCGCAAGAGCUGAUGAGGCAAAGCAGCUCACGGCGGGGGAGGACCGAGAACCUUCCCCAGGAGCCAUGGCGGGACCCACGGCCGCCCCGCUCCCCCCUCCGGCGGCCACCAGGGGUCAGCACGGGACCGGCUGCGGGGGGGCACAGGGGCACCCGCCGCCACAGCCCCUGCCAUGGGCAGGGACACCUCCCACUGGCUCAGGCUGCCCAAGGCCCAUCCAACCCGGCCCUGAGCACCUCCAGGGAUGGGGCAGCCACAGCUUCCCUGGGCAACCUGGGCCAGCAUCCCCCCACCCUCAUCGUGAAGAAAUUCGUCCUAAUGCCUCAUAGAAUCACAGAAUGGUUUGGGUUAGAAGGGACUUUAAAGAUGAUCCAGUUCCAACCCCCCUGCCAUGGGCAGGGACACCUCCCAUGUGUCAUCUAAAUCUUCAUCUAAAUCUUCAUCUAAAUCUUCCCCUUCCAAUUUAACGAACCGGAGCGAACAUCGCCACUGGUUUCCCACAGAAAAUCGCACACAAACACGCUUACCUGAGGCAGGAAAAGGAGCGGCUGCGAGUGUGCUGGGAAUGAAAAGAUUUAACAGUGGCACGGAAGAAGAGUCUGUUGGUUUAGAAUCAGAAUCAUGGAAUGGGUUGUGUUGGAAGGCAUUUCAAAGCCCAUCCAGUUUCAGCCCUGGGCACCUCCCACUGGAUCAGGGGCUCCGAGCCCCAUCCAACCUGGCCUGGAACCCCUCCAGGGAUGGGGCAGCCACAGCUUCUGUGAACAACCUGUGCCAGGGCCUCCCCACCCUCACAGCAAAAUAUUUCUUCCCAAGAUCUCACCUCAAUCUCCCCUCUUUCAGCUUAAAACUGUUCCCCCUCAUCCUAUCCCUCCACUCCCUGAUCCAGAGCCCCUCCCCAGCUUUUCUGCAGCCCCAUCCAGUACUGGAAGCUGCUCCAAGGUCUCCCCAGAGCCUUCUCUUCUCCAGGCUGAAUGACCCCAACUUUUUUCCCCUGAAAGCACUCUCUUGCGAAACUCUGAAACCAAUUCAGUGCAUUUGCUGCU